AUUGACCGCUGGCGGCAUGCCUUACACAUGCAAGUCGAACGGCAGCACGGGAGCAAUCCUGGUGGCGAGUGGCGAACGGGUGAGUAAAGUAUCGGAACGUGCCCAGUCGUGGGGGAUAACGUAGCGAAAGUUACGCUAAUACCGCAUACGAUCUAAGGAUGAAAGCGGGGGAUCGCAAGACCUCGCGCGAUUGGAGCGGCCGAUAUCAGAUUAGGUAGUUGGUGGGGUAAAGGCUCACCAAGCCAACGAUCUGUAGCUGGUCUGAGAGGACGACCAGCCAAACUGGAACUGAGACACGGUCCAGACUCCUACGGGAGGCAGCAGUGGGGAAUUUUGGACAAUGGACGCAAGUCUGAUCCAGCCAUUCCGCGUGAAGGAUGAAGGCCCUCGGGUUGUAAACUGCUUUUGUACGGAACGAAAAGGUCUCUCUUAAUACGGGGGACUCAUGACGGUACCGUAAGAAUAAGCACCGGCUAACUACGUGCCAGCAGCCGCCGUAA
rnacentral:rRNA from 1 species